rnacentral:tRNA from 1 species
AACUGAAUAGCUUAAUUAGUUAAGAGUAUUACAUUGAAGAUGUAAGGGUAGUAAGGUUUACUUUUAGUUA